rnacentral:rRNA from 1 species
CACGUAGUUAGCCGUGGCUUUCUGAUUAGGUACCGUCAAGACGUGCAUAGUUACUUACACAUUUGUUCUUCCCUAAUAACAGAGUUUUACGAUCCGAAGACCUUCUUCACUCACGCGGCGUUGCUCCGUCAGACUUUCGCCCAUUGCGGAAGAUUCCCUACUGCUGCCUCCCGUAGGAGUCUGGACCGUGUCUCAGUUCCAGUGUGGCCGAUCACCCUCUCAGGUCGGCUACGCAUCGUUGCCUUGGUAAGCCGUUACCUUACCAACUAGCUAAUGCGGCGCGGAUCCAUCUAUAAGUGACAGCAAGACCGUCUUUCACUGUUGAACCAUGCGGUUCAACAUGUUAUCCGGUAUUAGCUCCGGUUUCCCGAAGUUAUCCCAGUCUUAUAGGUAGGUUAUCCACGUGUUACUCACCCGUCCGCCGCUAACGUCAGAGGAGCAAGCUCCUCGUCUGUUCGCUCGACUUGCAUGUAUUAGGCACGCCGCAGCGUUCAUCCU